rnacentral:rRNA from 1 species
UACGUAGGGGGCAAGCGUUGUCCGGAAUCAUUGGGCGUAAAGAGCGUGUAGGCGGCCCGGUAAGUCCGCUGUAAAAGUCCAGGGCUCAACCCUGGAAAGCCGGUGGAAACUGUCGGGCUAGAGUCCGGAAGAGGCGAGUGGAAUUCCUGGUGUAGCGGUGAAAUGCGCAGAUAUCAGGAGGAACACCAAUGGCGAAGGCAGCUCGCUGGGACGGUACUGACGCUGAGACGCGAAAGCGUGGGGAGCAAACAGG